GAAUAUUAGUCAAUGCUCGAAAGAGUGAACUAGCUAACUGAAAUCAAUUAAAAAAUUGAUAACAUAAGGGAAAAUAAUGAUAUUACCUUAUUAUUAGUGUCGUCCAAAACUGGUGCCAGAAGACUCGGUAAGGCCAGAGACACAAACGUUAAUCGUCUUAAUCAGGCGUAAAGGGUUUGUAGGCGGCUUUUAAUUAAUUUAUAAAAAUUAAAAUAAGUUAAGAAUAAAAGCUAGAAUCAAAUAGAGGAUAUAUUAAAUAAUGCUUAGAGUAGGUCUGAUAUCCAUAGAUACUAAGUAGAAUAUUAAUGGCGAAAGCUUUUUUCCAUAAAUGAUUGACGCUCAGAAACGAAGGUGAGGAUAGGAAAUAGGAUUAGAGACCCAAAAUACCCCUCUCUGUCAACGAUGAAUGGUAAUUAUUAAUAAUUUAUUAUUAAUGAUAAUAUUAACAUGAUAACCAUUCCGCCUUGUGAGUACAACUGCAAAGUUGAAAACAAAAAAAUUAGUCGGUUUCGGAGCAAACGAAGUGAAGCAUGUUAUUUAAUUC
rnacentral:rRNA from 1 species